rnacentral:rRNA from 1 species
UCCAGACUCCUACGGGAGGCAGCAGUAGGGAAUAUUGCUCAAUGGGGGAAACCCUGAAGCAGCAACGCCGCGUGGGGAAUGAAGGUCUUCGGAUUGUAAACCCCUGUCAUGUGGGAGCAAAUUAAAAAGAUAGUACCACAAGAGGAAGAGGCGGCUAACUCUGUGCCAGCAGCCGCGGUAAUACAGAGGUCUCAAGCGUUGUUCGGAAUCACUGGGCGUAAAGCGUGCGUAGGCUGUUUCGUAAGUCGUGUGUGAAAGGCGCGGGCUCAACCCGCGGACGGCACAUGAUACUGCGAGACUAGAGUAAUGGAGGGGGAACCGGAAUUCUCGGUGUAGCAGUGAAAUGCGUAGAUAUCGAGAGGAACACUCGUGGCGAAGGCGGGUUCCUGGACAUUAACUGACGCUGAGGCACGAAGGCCAGGGGAGCGAAAGGGAUUAGAUACCCUGGUAC